rnacentral:rRNA from 1 species
AAUUUUAGGAAUUUUUAUUUAAAAUAAAACCUGCCCAAUGAAAAUUCAAUGGCCGCGGUAUUUUGACCGUGCGAAGGUAGCAUAAUAAUUUGUCUAAUAAUUUUAGUCUAGAAUGAAAGGUUAAACGUGAAAAUAACUUUUUUUUAUUAAAAGAUGAAUUUUAGAUAUUAGUAAAAACGCUAAUUUAACUUAAAAAGACAAGAAGACCCUAUUAAGUUUUAUAUUUAUAAAUUAGUUUUAUUAGAAAAUUUUAAUUAAUUAAUAUUUGGUUGGGGCGACUGAAAAUAAACAAACAUUUUUAAUUUAAUCUAAAUUUAUAGUUAAAAGAUCCAUUAAUAAUGAUUAAAAGAAUAAAUUACUAUAGGGAUAACAGCGUAAUUUUAUUGGAGAGAUCUUAUUGAUAAUAAAGUUUGCGACCUCGAUGUUGAAUUAGGAGCCCUAACUGAUGCAGUAAUCAGUAAAGGUAGUCUGUUCGACUAUUAAAUUCCUACAUGAUCUGAGUGGAAGA